rnacentral:rRNA from 1 species
AUUGAACGCUGGCGGCAUGCCUUACACAUGCAAGUCGAACGGCAGCACGGGUGCUUGCACCUGGUGGCGAGUGGCGAACGGGUGAGUAAUACAUCGGAACGUACCUUAUCGUGGGGGAUAACGCAGCGAAAGCUGUGCUAAUACCGCAUACGCCCUGAGGGGGAAAGCGGGGGAUCGCAAGACCUCGCGCGAUUAGAGCGGCCGAUGCCCGAUUAGCUUGUUGGUGGGGUAAAAGCCCACCAAGGCGACGAUCAGUAGCUGGUCUGAGAGGACGAUCGGCCAAGCUGGGACGGAGAAACGGCCCAGACUCCUCCGGGAGGCAGCAGUGGGUAAUUUUGGGCAAUGGGGGCAACCCUGAUCCAGCAAUGCCGCGUGAGUGAAGAAGGCCUUCGGGUUGUAAAGCUCUUUUGUCAGGGAAGAAACACCGGCUCUAACACAGUCCGGGAAUGACGGUACCUGAAGAAUAAGCACCGGCUAACUACGUGCCAGCCGCCGCCGUAA